rnacentral:rRNA from 1 species
AGUUAUCAUUAACGUUAUACGGGCCUGGCACCCUCUAUGGGUAAAUGGCCUCAUUUAAGAAGGACUUAAAUCGUUAAUUUCUCAUACUAGAUUAUUGACGUUCCAUACACUGCAUCUCACAUUUGCCAUAAAGACAAAGUGACUUAGUGCUGAACUGAUUUCUUUUCGCUCGCCGCUACUAAGA